AUUGAACGCUGGCGGCAUGCCUUACACAUGCAAGUCGAACGGUAACGCGGGGCAACCUGGCGACGAGUGGCGAACGGGUGAGUAAUGCAUCGGAACGUGCCUGGUAGUGGGGGAUAACUGCUCGAAAGAGCAGCUAAUACCGCAUACGACCUGAGGGUGAAAGGGGGGGAUCGCAAGACCUCUCGCUAUCAGAGCGGCCGAUGUCGGAUUAGCUAGUUGGUGGGGUAAAGGCCCACCAAGGCAACGAUCCGUAGCUGGUCUGAGAGGACGACCAGCCACACUGGGACUGAGACACGGCCCAGACUCCUACGGGAGGCAGCAGUGGGGAAGUUUGGACAAUGGACGCAAGUCUGAUCCAGCCAUGCCGCGUGCGGGAAGAAGGCCUUCGGGUUGUAAACCGCUUUUGUCAGGGAAGAAAUCUUCUGGGUUAAUACCUCGGGAGGAUGACGGUACAUGAAGAAUAAGCACCGGCUAACUACGUGCCAGCCGCCGCGGUAAAAC
rnacentral:rRNA from 1 species